CAAGAAGUGAUAAAGAGUAAAAACAAGAUGAAUUUCCUGGAAAGUAUUUUUGCCAGUUGGAAAUAUGCUUUUAUUGCAUUAUAAUUUCCAUGAGGGGUGAAAUACGCAAGUAAAGCAGGCGAACUUAAAGACACUUCUGUAAACAUUUGUCUAUAACUCUAGGCCCUAAUGCAAGGUCUGCAGUUAGUGAUAACAACACAGCUUCACAUUUCCUCAGGAUCUUCUUUUAUGCCGGGCUUGUACUGCUGGUCUAGAACACCUCAAUAACGACUCCCUAAGCUUCAUGGGGAAUUGCUGAGGAAUUUGGUUCUGGAUACAUACCUCAGAGGUGAAACCUGAAAUCCAAACCAAGACUUCCAGAUGAGAGGAUAUUACGUUGCAGAAUUUGGUCAGAAUAUGAAGUUUGGAAGACCCUAUAUUCCUGCAGAUCCUUGGAUUGAGGUUAAUUCGAGAGCAAGCCGUGAGUGAGGCCUCUGAGCUCAAGCCUGCACGUAUACAUCCAGAUGGCCUGAAGUAACUGAAGAAUCACAAAAGAAGUGAAAAUGGUCAGUUCCUGCCUUAACUGAUGACAUUACCUUGUGAAAUUCCUUCUCCUGGCUCAUCCUGGCUCAAAAGCUCCCCCACUGAGCACCCUGUGACCCCCAUCCCUGUCCACCAGAGAACAACUCCCUUUGACUGUAAUUUUCCACUACCCACCCAAAUCCUAUAAAAUGGCCCCACCCCUAUCUCCCUUCGCAGACUCUCUUUUUGGACUCAGCCCACUGCACCCAGGUGAAAUAAACAGCCUUGUUGCUCACACAAAGCCUGUUUGGUGCUCUCUUCACACGGACGCGUGUGACACUUC
rnacentral:lncRNA from 1 species